CGCGACCUUGAAGACCAUAUUUCAUUGGUGUAGACGUUGGCACAGCAAGUGUGAGAGCUGGAAUUUUUGAUCAAACCGGCCGAUUGCUGCAAAAUGCGACCCACGAGAUAAAGAUUUGGAAUCCAAAAGGAACGAAAGGCGAUUUUUAUCAACAGUCAUCUGAUGAUAUUUGGGAAUCUUGCUGCAAAGUCAUU